rnacentral:ncRNA from 1 species
CAUCUACCCCUCAUGUCCGGUUCUGGGAGGAAUCUCAGAAGCAAUAGGGAAUGCAGUGCGGUGUCUUGACGCCAAUUCUGCAACUGCCCCCGCAACUGUAGGCGGAGAGCACGGCUGAUACAUGCCACUGGGAGUGCCCGGGAAGGCCAGCCUGAGUGUUUUGACCCGCAAGUCAGGAGACCUGCCAGACAUGCGCCCUCGGA